rnacentral:rRNA from 1 species
GGUUCUGACCAUACCACCUUGAGGAAACCAAAUCUUGUCUGACCUUGGAAGCUAAGCAGGGUUUGGCCUGGUUAAUACUUGAAUGGGAGACCUUUGGGAAUGCCAGGUGCUGCAGUGA